GGGCCCGCACAAGCAGCGGAGCGUGUGGUUUAAUUCGAUGCAACGCGAAGAACCUUACCAGGGUUUGACAUGCUUGAAGUAGAAACUCGAAAGAGGGACGACCAGUAUCCAGCCUGGAACUUGCACAGGUGCUGCAUGGCUGUCGUCAGCUCGUGCCGUGAGGUGUUAGGUUAAGUCCUGCAACGAGCGCAACCCUCGUCGCUAGUUAAUUUCUCUAGCGAGACUGCCCGUAUAACGUGGAGGAAGGUGGGGAUGACGUCAAGUCAGCAUGGCCCUUACAUCCUGGGCUACACACACGCUACAAUGGGUGAUACAACAGGUUGCGAUAGAGUGAUCUGGAGCCAAUCCAAAAAAUCAUCCUCAGUUCGGAUUGUAGGCUGAAACUGCCUGCAUGAAGUUGGAGUUGCUAGUAACCGCAGGUCAGCACACUGCGGUGAAUACGUUCUCGGGCCUU
rnacentral:rRNA from 1 species